UAUUUUUUUGUAUAUUGACCCAUCAAUGUUCAGUGCUUCUUAUAGGAAAACUUCAUUGCAUAAGUACCUACAGCUCAUUUUAUAUUUAUAUAAAUAUGUACUUUUUUUAAUCUUAGGUUGUAUACAUUAAAUUGAGCCCUGCUCAGGCAAAGUGUAUCAUUCCACCAUAGGUAAAAUACUUAAAUAUUGUAUCUGUGUUGUCACCUAUUGUAUUCACAUUUAAGUAAUGGAAAGCCACCGAGUGUUUGUUUUUCCAACUAAUCUGAUAAUUCUUUAUAUUUUGUGUGCAGUAUAUCAGUAUGGGGAAAAGAAAACACAAAACACCACUAAGUUACAGUAGAAGGCAUUCAAGGAGGCUUGUUCAGCAGAUUACAGAAGAAGAACUUGGAUGUAUUCAGAAAACAGCAGGAUUGCAACUUUCAAGAGCACAAAGUUGUAUUAAUACUGCAACAAAUGCAGAGGUGAGACUCUGCUUGCUCAUGGUAAGCAAUCUACAGAAGUAGAAGUUGGACAUGUGGUGGCUAAAUGGCUUGUGCAGGCAAAGCUAAGGCUGCAAAGAAAGAAUGAAAAAAUCUCAAGCACACCUGCAUAGAGAUGAGUCAGUUAAAAAUUUCAUGUUUUGUAUAUAUAUAAUAUGUAUUUAUAGUUUUUUUUUAUUAAAGUCUACU